CCUACGGGAGGCAGCAGUGAGGAAUAUUGGUCAAUGGUCGGGAGACUGAACCAGCCAAGCCGCGUGAGGGAUGAAGGUACAGAGUAUCGUAAACCUCUUUUGUCAGGGAACAAAGGAGGGGACGUGUCCCAGGAUGAGUGUACCUGAAGAAAAAGCAUCGGCUAACUCCGUGCCAGCAGCCGCGGUAAUACGGAGGAAGUGAGCGUUAUCCGGAUUUAGUGGGUUUAAAGGGUGAGCAGGCGGUCUGUUUAGUCCGACGUGAAAGCCCGGGGGUUAACCCCGGUCCCGCCUUUGAGACUGGCAGUCUGGAGUUGGAGAGAGGUAUGCGGAAUGCGCGGUGUAGCGGUGAAAUGCAUAGAUAUCGCGCAGAACUCCGAUGGCGAAGGCAGCAUGCCGGCUCCACACUGACGCUGAGGCACGAAAGCGUGGGUAUCGAACAGGAUUAGAUACCCCUGUAGUC
rnacentral:rRNA from 1 species